GUUGCUCCGUCUUCGUCUGCACCAACACUAUCUGAGCGUUCAUGGACUUGCAUUGAUCUUGUUUCUUCAUCUCCAUCAAGUGGCCAACCUCAAGUCAGAAGCUUGGGUUCUACUCAAGAUAAUCCUAAGGUGGAACAGGGGACACCAUUGCAAAGCAUAAGUUCGCAUCAGCAACGAAAUAAACUUCCUCAACAAGAACGGAAUUAUGCUGUGCCACAGUCUGGCC